CUAGUCAGUUGUUAUUUGAAGCAUUUUAGGUCGAGAAUGUGGUAUUACACUCAUAUUCUUAUCUUCAACCAAAGUUGCCUCCUAAAUCAACAGAAAAGGUCACGGAUGUGUGUUUUUAAGGUUGUUAAUGUGCCGGGGGUUUAUGGGAUGUCGACAACAAAUAAUGGGCAGUGACGUCUAGUGAUUGGCGGGACAUGGUCCUUGAGAGUGGAGGGAGAGGUGGUGGUGGUAGUGACAGUGGCAAUAGCAACGGUCUCGCACAGUGUUUAAUAGACACAUGUAUAUGUAAUGUAUAUGUAUACAAGCAUACAUGAGUAUGUAUUUUGCUAUUUUUGUGUUUUGAGGGCAUUAGAUCUUGAAGUUUUGAUGGGCUUUUACAGAUGCGAAGAUAUUUGUGCAAUUGAAUAAGUUUAUAGCUGGAGGCCCUUUGUACAUUGUCAAAUAGGGGAUUCAAAUUCCGUAAGUAUUUUUCUUGAAAUCCUAGAUCAGUAAUUCUUUUUCAUUGAAUUUCUUUAAUUCACUCUCUCUUGUAUUUUUUACUGUCAUUUUUUACUUUUGUGUGGGCAUAUGAAGUGGGCUUGGCUUUUAAGUUGUGGUCCGAUUUUCCAGAAUUGCAAGGGGAAAAGAGAGUUGAUUUAAUUCAAGCAACGUCUGCGUAUAUUUGUCGAUUUUAAUUUGAGAAUUCUUUUAUCGGUUCCUAUGUCAUGAGUGAAUAGUGAUGUUAAGCUUAUUGAUCCGUACAGAAUCAAAAUAAGAUGGUG
rnacentral:lncRNA from 1 species